CCUACGGGAGGCAGCAGUGGGGAAUAUUGCACAAUGGGGGAAACCCUGAUGCAGCGACGCCGCGUGAGUGAAGACGUAUCUCGGUAUGUAAAGCUCCAUCAGCAGGGAAGUAAAUGACGGUACCUGACUAAGAAGCUCCGUCUAACUACGUGCCAGCAGCCGCGGCUACACGUAGGGGGCCAGCGUUAUCCGGAUUUACUGGGUGUAAAGGGAGCGUAGACGGCGCUGCAAGUCCGGAGUGAAAGCCUAUGGCUUAACCAUGGUACUGCUCUGGAAACUGUGGAGCUUGAGUGCGGGAGGGGCAGGCGGAAGUCGUAGUGUAGCGGUGAAAUGCGUAGAUAGUAGGAGGAACACCGGCGGCGAAGGCAGCCUGCUGGACCGUAACUGACGUUGAGGCUCGAAAGCGUGGGGAGCGAACAGGAUUAGAUACCCGGGUAGUC
rnacentral:rRNA from 1 species